rnacentral:rRNA from 1 species
AACGAACGCUGGCGGCAGGCUUAACACAUGCAAGUCGAACGCAUCCUUCGGGGUGAGUGGCAGACGGGUGAGUAACGCGUGGGAACGUGCCCUUCAGUUCGGGAUAACCCAGGGAAACUUGGUCUAAUACCGGAUACGUGCGAGAGCAGAAAGAUCUAUCGCUGAAGGAUCGGCCCGCGUCUGAUUAGCUAGUUGGUGGGGUAAUGGCCCACCAAGGCGACGAUCAGUAGCGGGUCUGAGAGGAUGAUCAGCCACAUUGGGACUGAGACACGGCCCAAACUCAUACGGGAGGCAGCAGUGGGGAAUAUUGGAGAAUGGGCGCAAGCCUGAUCCAGCCAUGCCGCGUGAGUGAUGAAGGCCUUAGGGUUGUAAAGCUCUUUUGUCCGGGACGAUAAUGCCGGUCCCGGAAGAAGAAGCCCCGGCUACCUUCGUGCCAGCAGCCGCCGUAA